CCUAACACAUGCAAGUCGAACGGUAACAGGAAGAAGCUUGCUUCUUUGCUGACGAGUGGCGGACGGGUGAGUAAUGUCUGGGAAACUGCCUGAUGGAGGGGGAUAACUACUGGAAACGGUAGCUAAUACCGCAUAACGUCGCAAGACCAAAGAGGGGGACCUUCGGGCCUCUUGCCAUCGGAUGUGCCCAGAUGGGAUUAGCUAGUAGGUGGGGUAACGGCUCACCUAGGCGACGAUCCCUAGCUGGUCUGAGAGGAUGACCAGCCACACUGGAACUGAGACACGGUCCAGACUCCUACGGGAGGCAGCAGUGGGGAAUAUUGCACAAUGGGCGCAAGCCUGAUGCAGCCAUGCCGCGUGUAUGAAGAAGGCUUUCGGGUUGUAAAGUACUUUCAGCGGGGAGGAAGGGAAUAAAGUUAAUACCUUUGCUCAUUGACGUUACCCG
rnacentral:rRNA from 1 species